UACAAAUGUCCCAAUCCACCAUACCCACUCCCAUCAACCAUAAUUCCGUGUUGAUAAGAGGUUAGAGGAGGGAUUUCAGUGCUGUGGAUCUUUGGGCGGCAACGGUGGAGAUAGUGUUGAAGGUGAGGACUGAAUGGAAGAACGGAAGACCCAAUCUUAAUCGUUUUGCCAUUGUCAUUGCUCAAAAUCUAGGGUUUUAAUUUCUUUCGUUUUCCCGUAUACCAUUUUUCUUUCUUUAGCUAUAGAGUGAGAGAGACAAAUUGUGACUGUCGACCUUGCCGAAGGGAUUUUUCGAUAAGUGUGAUGACCGUGCCUUUUUUGGAUAAGAAGUAAGCGAUGCAAAUCCAAUGACUCCGCCACCGCAAACCUCUACUUGUUAAGGUGAAUUUGGGGUGUAAUGAGAGAUGAUGCGGACAAGGAGCAACAAAUUGAAACUAAUUUGGGAGAUAAUUUGUGAAAUUGCUGUGGGAAUUGAAAAUGAGCCAAACGGUGAAGCUAUGGUGACGUUGUAAUUAGCAUUUUACCGGGUUGUUGGUUUUAGCAAUGGAGCACAUGAACUGUGUAGUCACUCCUUUCUCUCUCUUUUUUUUCUUCCUUUCCCAUUUUUGUUCUCUAUUCUCUGCUACCCAUUCUGAGCCUGUACCAAAUGGAC
rnacentral:lncRNA from 1 species